rnacentral:tRNA from 1 species
GCCUUGAUGGCCAAUUAAUAGGCAUCUGGUCUUGUAAAUCAGAAGCGAGGGUUUAAGUCCCUCUUAAGGCG